rnacentral:rRNA from 1 species
UACGUAGGGUCCGAGCGUUGUCCGGAGUUACUGGGCGUAAAGCGCGCGCAGGCGGCGGUGCUGGCCCGGCGUAAAAGCCCCCGGCUCAACCGGGGAGGGUCGUCGGGGACCGCACCGCUUGAGGGCGGUAGGGGCUGGUGGAAUGCCUGGUGUAGUGGUGAAAUGCGUAGAGAUCAGGCGGAACACCUGGGGCGAAGGCGGCCAGCUGGGCCGUCCCUGACGCUGAGGCGCGAAGGCGUGGGGAGCGAACGGG